rnacentral:lncRNA from 1 species
AAUAGGGGGCAAAGGGAAGAGGCAAUUUUAAAGCCAGUAAAUUCCAGUGGAAGGUUCCUCACUCCCUCUGAGCAGGAAUAUCCUGGGUGCUGCUGUGGAGAUGGGGCUGCCUUCAAAUAGCACAGGAAAAUGACAAUAAUCUACUGAAAAAGAUUUGAAAAAGAUGACUAAAUGUACUAAAAAUGCAGUGCUGGUCUGAUUCAGUCUUACAGUUUUGAUGUCUCAAACAAAUGUCAGCAUCUUUACAAGGAGAACAUUGACAAGUGAAUGAGACAAGCAAGUGGGCUGGAGAAGAAUCUGUCUCCAAUAUUCUGAUGGACUUCGAGGACCUGUGUCUGGAGACAGGAGAUCUGCUGCAGGAUGGGAGAGGAAGCAUCCUGACAGAGGAAGCCUCCACUCCUUGGCACUGCAGUGGGCCUCCCUUUCCUGGUGCUCUCCUCAGGAGCUACCCUGGUUCCAAGCAGCACCUUCAUUGUAUGUCUGUACUCAGCCAUAUACCAGGAGCUGAGAGGAGCCUGGCCAGUGCCACACAUGAUCAGAAAUAG